CCUACGGGCGGCUGCAGUAGGGAAUCUUCCACAAUGGACGAAAGUCUGAUGGAGCAAAGCCGCGUGAGGGACGAAGGGUUCAGGCACGUAAAGCUCUGUUGGUAGUGAAGAAAGAUAGAGGUAGUAACUGGCCUUGAGUUGACGGUAAUUAAUUAGAAAGUCACGGCUAACUACGUGACAGCAGCCGGGGUAAUACGUAGGUGGCAAGCGUUGACCGGAUUUAUUGGGCGUAAAGGGAGUGCAGGCGGUUCGAUAAGUCUGAUGUGAAAGCCUUCGGCUCCACCGGAGAAUUGCAUCAGAAACUGUUGAACUUGAGUGCAGAAGAGGAGAGUGGAACUCCAUGUGUAGCGGUGGAAUGCGUAGAUAUAUGGAAGAACACCAGUGGCGAAGGCGGCUCUCUGGUCUGCAACUGACGCUGAGGCUCGAAAGCAUGGGUAGCGAACAGGAUUAGAUACCCUUGUAGUC
rnacentral:rRNA from 1 species